AUAAUUCUUAACUUGAAAAUAUAAUUUAAAAAUGAAUAUGAAAAUUGAAAAGGCGCGGGAGGGAGACUGCAACACGAUCGGUGGACCUCAGUUACUCGUCUUCACGAAGAUUUGAUCUGCCAGUUGAGAGGGAAUUUGGUUUUUGCGAGAUAUGGAACGAUCGCUUGAUGCAUCGAAGUCGGAUUUCAACACGAGUUUGAAGGAGAGAGACGCUUUUCUUUGUCAAAUUAUAUCAGGUUUUUUUUGUAGGUGUUGACAUUGUUGCAUUUCACUCGAUCGAUAUUUUUGUUAUGUUGCCGAAAUGACGAACAACGAGUUGCAAGAUUUCAAACAAUUUUUAGCCCUCUCUCUGCUAAAACCACCGAUCUGUAUGUUUGCGAUCCAAUAUCUUUUAAAUUCUUCAAUGUUUUCUUUUUGAACUUUAUAGUUGUAACUUUCAAAUAGUUUCAGGAUGUUUCUUCAAGAAGUUCAUUAUAGGUUGGAAAAUCUAACGAAAACGAAAUUCCAAGACCUAGAGUUGCGAGAUGCAGAGAUUACGAGAAACGCUAGCAUCCGAAAGGAGCUCUGAAAAUCUUCUUGGCAUAAUCGUGCAGAGAUUGAAAAUCUUCUUGCUAAUAUGGAAGAACUUCAAUCUUCGAAUAAUGAAAAGGAUUGCACAAAAAGCAGGCUUAGAAAGUAAGUUGGAAAAGAUUGAGGUUGAUUCUAGAAAAUUAAACGAUGAUUUUGGUAGAAUCUUUCAUGAGUUGGAAGUCUCAAGAAAGCAUACUGGCGCAUCGGUGUUAAACCGAUGCACAUCUGGCUAGAAAACCUAUGGCUUAGGAGUGAAGGAAAAAGAAAAGCAUCUUCUGCACAAGCACCUCGUGGCAAUGGAGAUUCUGGAAAGGAGGACGGGAGCUUAAAACAGAAGAAAGACGUCGAAAGUGAAUCAAAGACCCCUUUCAAAUCUCACAAAUUAAGGAGCAGCAUGCAUGUGGAACAACGCAAAGCCAAAGCAUCACAGCCUAAUAAUAAUACGGUCUCCAUAUUGAUGGAAACCAUUUAGAGUGGAAGUAAGGCUGAUAAGAUAUCAAAACCAACAACACCACCAGCAACGCCGCCGCACCCCAAGGUGAGGCAGCGGUGCCUUCUGCGACGUAUACCGGCUCGAGCUUUGUUCUCGGAGUGAUGAUUACAAGACGACCAUAUCUAACAAUCGAGUUUCCAACAAACACAAACACUAGAGAUAGCAAAAUGACCAAGAUUCCAAGAACAGCAAGCAGAGGCCUUGGCGGAGGAGCUAUGGAGGCCAAGGCCUGCUCUGCCCAUCCUUGUUUCCAUGAUGGGCCUCUCCUC